AUAAAUAAUAGGCGCCUCUCCUAAAUACCAUUCAAAUUACUUCAUAUCGUAUGAGUUCAAUCUGGAUUUCUACCACAUAAGCAACUAGAUAAGCAGUAAGCAACUAGAUAAGCAGUAAGCGACAUCAUCCGCAAAGUUUGGAGGUAUUGAUCAGAAUGGGAACUCACCGUUCGCCAUGUCAAUGGACUCUACAUGCUCUUGCAGCUCGUCCAACAUAUCUGCCAGAGGAAAACGACAUCACGGCAACUUUAGUCAAGCACCUCAAACUAUAAACGGGUCCAUUAACAAAUCUAAAAUCAAAGCUACUGCAAUUCCACCGUAAAUACCUUCAAUCUCAGUAGGAGUGACUCCUUGAGACUCCAGGACAUCCUCG
rnacentral:lncRNA from 1 species